UUACGGUCAUAUCACAUAGAAAUACCGAUGCACAUAUGAUCACCAAAGUUAAGCAACGUUUAACCUCGUCAGUACCUAGGUGGGUGACCGCAUCGGAAUAUCACGUGCUGUAAG